rnacentral:rRNA from 1 species
UACGUAGGGGGCUAGCGUUGUCCGGAAUCAUUGGGCGUAAAGAGCGUGUAGGCGGCUCGGUAAGUCCGCUGUGAAAGUCCAGGGCUCAACCCCGUGAAUGCCAGUGGAAACUGUCGAGCUAGAGUCCGGAAGAGGCGAGUGGAAUUCCUGGUGUAGCGGUGAAAUGCGCAGAUAUCAGGAGGAACACCAAUGGCGAAGGCAGCUCGCUGGGACGUGACUGACGCUGAGACGCGAAAGCGUGGGGAGCAAACAGG